CAUCUCCCUCAUGCUCCUGUACUCUCCAGGCGUCAGGCCUCAGGUACAUCUGCCUGCCUGUCUCGUGGGGCUGCUUGUCCAUGACCUGCCCAGACUGGCAGUCAGAGAUGUGGUAAAGCUCUUGAAUUGACUCACAGUCCUCCAUCAGCUCCUGACUAUGACAGGGCAGUUGCUGCUGGUCUCAUAGGAGCGACCCUGGAAGUUCUUGUCCUCAUAGAAAAUGUUUGAAAUUCAACAAUAAAACUGUGUAAAGUUUGCAGUGGCCUCUUAAAUUUUAUCCUUCU